AUGUUCCAUCAGACAACUUGGAACCCAGAGAACAGGGAUUAUGCUGUGUUCAGCCCACCUAUUGUCACUGCAUGCUGCAGCCAAGAUGAGAAGGAAUCGGUCCCAUGGAAGGAAUUUCAUGUCUCUCUAGCAGUUCGGCAAGACAAGCUUGAGAAGGAAGCCACAUCAAAACGGGAGGCUCCUGCCACCAUGAGUAUAUUGGGCUGAGGAGCUGGUUUUCACUUGGGGCCUCUCGUGAACUUGAAGUCGGGCUGUGACCGGGGUUGGAGGCAUCUCAAAGGCUGGCUGUUGUCUAAGGCUCCAGCUGAAGCUGAGGAUGGGAAGGUCUAUUCUUGGCCUCGCCAUUGCCACCCGGGCUUCCUCAAAACAAGGCCCUGAGCUUGAAGAGUAAGCACCCUGAGAGAGAACCAAGCUAGAACACCUUUUAUAAACAAGCCUCAGAAAUCACGCGGUGUCCUUAAGCACAGCCCAUAUUCAAGGGUAAGGUCAUUAGGUUCUAACUCUUUAUGUGAGGAGUGCCAAAGAAUACACAGACAUGUGUUUUUUUUUUUUUUUCACUUUA
rnacentral:lncRNA from 1 species